rnacentral:rRNA from 1 species
GACGAACGCUGGCGGCGUGCCUAAUACAUGCAAGUCGAGCGAAGCGGCGGAUGGGUGCGUAACGCGUGGGUAACCUGCCCUUAAGUCUGGGAUACCAUUUGGAAACAGAUGCUAAUACCGGAUACUAACGGAUGGCCCUGCGAUGCAUUAGCUAGUUGGUAAGGUAACGGCUUACCAAGGCGAUGAUGCGUAGACGAGUUUGAAGACUGCUCGGCCCAAUUGGGACUGAGACACGGCCCAAACUCCUACGGAGGGCAGCAGUGGGGAAUCUGCCACAAUGGACGAAAGGCGGAUGGAGCACCGCCGCGUGAGUGAAGAGGGUUUUCGGUUCGUAAGGUUGUGUUGUGGAUGAAGCGGUAAUCAACCAGAAAGGCACGGCGAACUACGUGCCAGCAGCCGCGGUAAUUC